UACGUAGGGGGCGAGCGUUGUCCGGAUUUAUUGGGCGUAAAGAGCUCGUAGGCGGUUCGAUAAGUCGGACGUGAAAUCUCCACGCUCAACGUGGAGGGGCCGUUCGAUACUGUCGUGACUCGAGUCCGGUAGGGGAGUGUGGAAUUCCCGGUGUAGCGGUGAAAUGCGCAGAGAUCGGGAGGAACACCCGUAGCGAAGGCGGCACUCUGGGCCGGUACUGACGCUGAGAAGCGAAAGCAUGGGGAGCGAACAGG
rnacentral:rRNA from 1 species